GCUGGGUGUGGUGGUGCAUGCCUGUAAUCCCAGUGACUCCAGAGGCUGAGGAGAUAGGAGGAUUGCAAGUUUGAGGCCAGCCUCAGCAGUUUCAUGAGGCCUUAAGUAACUUAGCGAGACCCUGUCUCAA
rnacentral:sRNA from 1 species